rnacentral:lncRNA from 1 species
GCUGGGGGGGGGGUAUCUAUUAUGUGCCCCCCCCCUUUAAAUUCAAGUCUAUCUAUGGGGCUGGGGGGGGGCUAUUAAGGGGGGGGGUCUAUUAUGUGCCCCCCCCCCCCAAGCCUUACAGUCUAUGGGGCUGAUGGGGGGGGGGUUUUUUCCAAAUUCGCCUCCCCCCCUCCUUUAUGUCUAUAUAAUAGGGCUGGGGGGGGGGGGGCAGGUGAUAAAUAACCCCCCCCCCCCCUCAUGUCUAUCUAUGGGGUUGUGGGGGGGGGGGUAGAUAUUCAAUACCCCCCUUUUAAAUUCAAGUCUAUCUAUGGGGCGCUGGGGGGGGGGCUAUUAAAGGGGGGGGGGCCUAUUAUGUGCCCCCCCCCCCCCCCCCCCCUGUUACAGCAUCUAAGUAUGGGACUGAGGGGGGAGUGGGAUGUAUGUAUUAGGAAUGUCCGCUCUCCUCCUCCUUCAUGUCUAGUCUAUAGGGGCGGUGGGGGGUAGAUAGUAAUAUGCAGCCCCACCCGCCCCCUGAGACAGUGGGGGGGUGCUAGAAAGCAAGCUGUUUCCUCAAUUUGCGUCUGGAUGCUGUUCUGGCUAUGGGGGGUCGGAUCCUUUGGCUGUUCCUCGGGGCUCCUCCUGCCCCCCCCGGGUUUGGAAAUGGGGGGGGGGUUAAUGGUGGUGCUACGCGGACUCGCCCAUGUUAUGGUUGGAGGGGGAGCGGGGUUGGAGACGCGCCAACAGUGGGUGAUGAUUAUUGCGAAAAUCGAAGGGGUGGAUGAAAGGGUGGGGGGGGGGAGGGGGAGGGGAGGAGGGAAGAGCCUCGUGGUGACGGGGGGGAGGGGCGUCACCAUGGCAACCAGGAAGAGCAUCACCAUGGAGACGGUCACCAUGGCAACAAGGAGGAGCAUCAACAUGGCGGCCAUGAAGAGCAUCAACAUGGCGACCAUAAAGAGCAUCACCAUGGCAACCAGGAUGGGCAUCAACAUGGCGACCGUCACCAUGGAUGAAGAGCAUCUCCAUGGCAACCAUCACCAUGGCAACCAUCACCAUGGCAACCAGGAUGGAGACCGUCACCAUGGCAACCAGGAGGAUGCUCAUCACCAUGGCAACCAGGAUGUCCAUCACCAUGACGACCACGAGGAUGCUCAUCCCCAUGACGACCAUGAUGUCCAUCACCAUGACGACCAUGAUGUCCAUCACCAUGGCAACCAGGAUGCUCGUCACCAUGGCAACCAUCACCAUGGCGACCCCGUGAGCUCCGAGGAGGAGGAUGAUGAUGAUGAUGAUGGUGGUGGGGGCAGCUCGGAGGAGGAUGAAGAUGAUGAUGAUGAUGAUGAUGGUGGUGAUGGACGUUACAGGCCGGGAUCCAUCUGCAGCUACUGCAGCUUCUGCAAGGUGAGCUAUGGGGCGGAUGUGGGGCAGCUAUGGGGCAGAUAUAGGGCAGAUAUAGGGUAUCUAUGGGGCAGCUAUGGGGUAUCUAUGGGGCAGCUAUGGGGUAGAUAUGGGGCACUAUGGGGCAGCUAUGGGGGUAUCUAUGGGGCCAGCUAUGGGCAGCUAUGGGGUUAUCUAGGGGCAAGAUAUGGGGUUAUCUUCUUGGGGCAGAUAUGGGGCAGCUAAUGGGGUAUCUAUGGGGCAGCUAUGGGUAGAUAUGGGGCAGAUAUGGCGGCAGCUAUGGGGGCAGAUAUGGGGUAUCUUGGGCAGCUAUGGGGUAUCUAUGGGGCAAUAAUGGGGCAGCUAUGGGUAUCUUAUGGGGCAGCUAUGGGGCAGCCAAUGGGGCAGCUAUGGGUAAUCUAUGGGGGCAGCUAUGGGACAGAUAUGGGGUGCUUUAAGGGUAUCUAUGGGGUCAUCUAUGGGGCAGCUAUGGGCAAGCUAUGGGCGGGUCUCUAUGGGGGGGUCCAAUGAGGGGGGGUCUCUUUUGGGGUCCAUUGGGGGGGUCUCUUUAGGGUCUAUUGGGGGGGGGGUCCUCUUGGGGGGCUAUUGGGGGGGUCUCUCUGGGGGGUCAAUGGGGGGGGUCUCUGUGGGGGGGGU